GCCUGCAGCGAUAGUAUAAUGAAUGCAUCGGUUUCCAAUUGAUCACUGAAGUUAAGCAACGUUGAGCGUGGUUAGUGUUCCGAAUGGGUGACCAUCUGGGCAAUUACAAAUGCAGAAGACC
rfam:Asian citrus Psyllid, Diaphorina citri - Florida Strain, whole genome shotgun sequence.